rnacentral:rRNA from 1 species
AGUUGGUGGAGUGAUUUGUCUGGUUAAUUCCGUUAACGAACGAGACCUCAGCCUACUAAAUAGUGUGUUCUUUCUCACGAAAGGAUUCGACUUCUUAGAGGGACAUUUCGGAUUUACCGGAAGGAAGUUUGAGGCAAUAACAGGU